rnacentral:lncRNA from 1 species
AUGGUUGUAAAACAGAGCCCCACAGCUGCACGUAGACCAGAAACCCGCAGGCCCAUGACCAAGACGCCCGGGGGGGGCCUGGCCCUGCCCCUUUCGGGACUCACCCUGCACGGCUCCCCGCACGCACUGCUCAAGUUACACACGCUUCUGAGUUCCGAGAACACGCCAAGCCCUUUAGUCUGCAGCCUGGGUGGCUUUCAGGGCACCACUGCUGCAUCGCCGCUGGGGGUGCCUCGCUGGCUGCCCAGUCCAGCGCCCCAGGCGUUACAGGACAGCACAUUCCUAGGGAGUCCAGAAGGCACCAGGCUCUGGACACUGGCCCGCCUGGAGAACUGUCUACACAGGGUACGAGGGACCCAGCGAAGGAGUAUCAGUUCUAAGGACUGCAAUUUAGAAACAACAAUGCAUGAAAUGAUAAGACUCCAGAAGGACACAGAGUAACACGGACCACUGCGCCCUCUGCUCUUCCUGCACUCUUGGCUGCCUGGUUCCCGACUCAUGCUCAUCAUGCAAACGAGCAAAUUACAUUUUGUAGACAAUUUCGCAGAUUUGGGGGUAGUUUUGUUCUAGCAAGCCCCCAACCCAUGUGUACACACAAUUAGAGCAGGGGUUCUUAACCUUUUCUGUUCCACAGACACCUUACUAAGUCCACACUCUACUGUGUUUUAUUUAAUAAACAUAUCAUACCUGCAUCAACAUGUCCCCACAAAAAUGGUGGUUUUAUAAAAUUUAAAUUCAAGCUCACGGACUCCUUGUUAAGAACCCAUGCAUUAGAGAGUCCUUUUUUGUAAAUAAGCUACUUUACUCAAUCCUUCCAAAAUCAACACAGAGGAAAAUAACAGCUAAUGUUGCCAUGAGGUAUGGGCUUGUUAGAGCUAAACACUAAUUUCUGGUUUAAUUUUAAACACUAAAAAUAGUUUCUUUUAAAGAUUUUUAAAUUAUUUUACUUAUUUUCCCCCCGUGGCGGCUUGCUUGCUGUCUGCUCUGUGUCCAUUCACUGCAUGUUCUUCUGUGUCUGCUUGUCUCCCUUUGUUGUGUCAUCUUGCUGGGCCAGCUCCCCAGUGUGGGCUGUGCGGACAGUGUGGACAGUGUGGGCUGUCAGCUCACCGCGGGCACGAACCAGCCUGCCUUCACAAGGAGGCCCUGGCACGCGAACCCACAGCCUCCCAUUUGGUGGGCGGGAGCCCAAUCAACUGAGCCACAGCCACUUCCCUAACUUAGUUUUUAAAGUAAGGAACUAAAAACAAACUCCUAACACAUAGGUGAAUAGAAAAUACUUUUUAAGACAUUGCAGAAAAUUACUUCCCUUGUGGCUGGAGGUAUUAAGGUAAAGGCUAGAAUUCGGUAUUAGAUGGAUUAACCCCAAGAUGGUAACUGAAAAUUCUUUUCACAUACUAUCAAAAAAUGUGCACAGGACAAUCACUCAACUGUACUGCUUAGGCUACAGGAAUUAACUUCCUGAAAACUAAAUGUUUUUUAAAUGAGAAUCUACAUUUAUCUCAUUCACUCAAAAAUUUCCAGAUGCAGUAACACCAGUAGCUGCUGACUUUAGUGUAGUCACAAGCAGAGAGAACAAAACCAGAUCCCUUUUUUUCUCACUAGUAUGUAGGAGAUGCUCAACAUUGCCUUUAAAAUUUUUU